rnacentral:lncRNA from 1 species
AUCUUGUAAGCUUUUUUCUUACCACAGUACAAUAAGACAUCUUUCAUUUGGAAGCCCUGAUUCCAAAACCACCUGUAUGGGUGAAACUGGUAUACUCAGCUGAAAAUAAUGAAAAUAAGCCAGGUCCAGUGGAGCUCCAUUUUACCAUUUGUUUGGUUGUUCCCACUAUUCCUACCAGAAAGAAAAAAAAGUUCCCCAUAUAUUUCCAGUCUCAGCUGACUUCUGUCCAGACCAUACUGUGUUGGUAAGACAAUGAAGACAGUGUUACCAUGGAUUCAAAAGGAAAAAGAAAGCAAACAAACAAAACAAAAAACAGAGCAAUACAUUAACUCAUGUAACUCGUAUCCAUGUACGUUCAUGGAGGAAGAAAAAGGGAAGAGGUAAACUAGAAAAGGAGUAAAAGGAAGAACCUGCAGGACUGCAAGACAUUGGUCUCAUAAAAAAUUCAAGCAAGGCACUGCAGUCUGGUUUUAUCAGUAGAGGAAAGCUCUCUGACCUUCUCAGCUCACAGUGCCCCCUUCCUGGUGCAGAAUCAAGUCCUC